AUGAGCAAAGCGUUGGCGCCACGCUACCAGGGUUUAUCCACGUACGAGAAAGAGUACCUCGCAGUAAUAGUUGUUGUGGACCAGUGGCGUCCGUAUCUGCAGCAUGGGGAAUUCAGGCGUCCGUAUCUGCAGCAUGAGGAAUUCACUAUCUUUACCGACCAAAAAACCUUGAUUCACUUAGAGGAACAACGGCUCUCGACACCCUAG
rnacentral:rRNA from 1 species